rnacentral:rRNA from 1 species
UACGUAGGGGGCAAGCGUUGUCCGGAAUCAUUGGGCGUAAAGAGCGCGUAGGCGGCCCUGUAAGUCCGCUGUGAAAGUCAAAGGCUCAACCUUUGAAAGCCGGUGGAAACUGUGGGGCUAGAGUCCGGAAGAGGCGAGUGGAAUUCCUGGUGUAGCGGUGGAAUGCGCAGAUAUCAGGAGGAACACCAAUAGCGAAGGCAGCUCGCUGGGACGGUACUGACGCUAAGGCGCGAAAGCGUGGGGAGCGAACAGG